UGGAGAGUUUGAUCCUGGCUCAGGACGAACGCUGGCGGCGUGCCUAAUACAUGCAAGUCGAACGAACUCUGGUAUUGAUUGGUGCUUGCAUCAUGAUUUACAUUUGAGUGAGUGGCGAACUGGUGAGUAACACGUGGGAAACCUGCCCAGAAGCGGGGGAUAACACCUGGAAACAGAUGCUAAUACCGCAUAACAACUUGGACCGCAUGGUCCGAGYUUGAAAGAUGGCUUCGGCUAUCACUUUUGGAUGGUCCCRCGGCGUAUUAGCUAGAUGGUGGGGUAACGGCUCACCAUGGCAAUGAUACGUAGCCGACCUGAGAGGGUAAUCGGCCACAUUGGGACUGAGACACGGCCCAAACUCCUACGGGAGGCAGCAGUAGGGAAUCUUCCACAAUGGACGAAAGUCUGAUGGAGCAACGCCGCGUGAGUGAAGAAGGGUUUCGGCUCGUAAAACUCUGUUGUUAAAGAAGAACAUAUCUGAGAGUAACUGUUCAGGUAUUGACGGUAUUUAACCAGAAAGCCACGGCUAACUACGUGCCAGCAGCCGCGGUA
rnacentral:rRNA from 2 species